AGCUUUCUGAAUCCGUGCUGAGCUUUUGACAAAUCUCAACUAACCAGGAUUGAUAAGACUUCCACGAUAAAUGAAGUG
rnacentral:pre_miRNA from 1 species